UGGGGAAUCUUGCACAAUGGGGGCAACCCUGAUGCAGCCAUGCCGCGUGGAGGAAGACACCCCUAUGGGGCGUAAACUCCUUUUCUGAGAGAAGAAACCCCUGUAUGUUCAGGGCGUGACGGUAUCUCAGGAAUAAGCACCGGCUAACUCCGUGCCAGCAGCCGCGGUAAUACGGAGGGUGCAAGCGUUGUCCGGAAUCACUGGGCGUAAAGGGUGCGCAGGCGGGGCAGCAAGUCGGAGGUGAAAGCCCAUGGCUCAACCAUGGAAGUGCCUUCGAAACUGUUGCUCUUGAGUCCCGGAGAGGCUGCCGGAAUUCGUGGUGUAGCGGUGAAAUGCGUAGAGAUCACGAGGAACACCAGAGGCGAAAGCGGGCAGCUGGACGGGCACUGACGCUCAGGCACGAAAGCGUGGGGAGCAAACAGGAUUAGAUACCCCCGUAGUCC
rnacentral:rRNA from 1 species